rnacentral:rRNA from 1 species
UACGGGGGGGGCAAGCGUUGUUCGGAAUUACUGGGCGUAAGGGGCUCGUAGGUGGCCAACUAAGUCAGACGUGAAAUCCCUCGGCUUAACCGGGGAACUGCGUCUGAUACUGGAUGGCUAGAGAUUGGGAGAGGGAUGCGGAAUUCCAGGUGUAGCGGUGAAAUGCGCAGAUAUCAGGAGGAACACCGGUGGCGAAGGCGGUUCUCUGGGCAUGAUCUGACGCUGAGGAGCGAAAGUGUGGGGAGCGAACAGG